CCUACGGGAGGCAGCAGUUGGGAAUCUUGGACAAUGGGGGAAACCCUGAUCCAGCCAUGCCGCGUGAGUGAUGAAGGCCUUCGGGUUGUAAAACUCUUUCGACGGGGACGAUAAUGACGGUACCCGUAGAAGAAGCUCCGGCUAACUUCGUGCCAGCAGCCGCGGUAAUACGAAGGGGGCUAGCGUUGUUCGGAAUUACUGGGCGUAAAGCGCGCGCAGGCGGUCUUCCAAGUCAGUGGUGAAAGCCCGGAGCUCAACUCCGGAACUGCCAUUGAAACUGUAAGACUUGAGGACGAGAGAGGUGAGUGGAAUUCCCAGUGUAGAGGUGAAAUUCGUAGAUAUUGGGAAGAACACCGGUGGCGAAGGCGGCUCACUGGCUCGUAUCUGACGCUCAGGCGCGACAGCGUGGGGAUCAAACAGGAUUAGAUACCCUGGUAGUCCACGCCGUAAACGAUGAAUGCUAGCCGUUGGGUAGUCUGUCUAUUCUAGUGGCGCAGCUAACGACAUAAGUACACUUCCGUCCGUCGGGUAGGUACGGCCGGCGAGGUUAGUAACGUACAAAGGAAGUUAGACGGCGUGAGACGUCGCCGACGGACGACCGACGAGGGGAGGUAGG
rnacentral:rRNA from 1 species